CUUAAACCUCCUUUUUGCUUUUACUUCAGGAACACCAUGAAGAAGACUUCUUUCUAUACAUUGCCUACAGUGAUGAAAGCGUCUACGGUCUGUGAAGUUGCUGUCCCGGAGGUGGGGGUUCCAUUCUACAAAGAGAGGUGGCGCUCCUUCCUUGGCAUCCAGUUCCUCCUUCAGGCUCAAACACCAUCUCCUUUCUUCAGGACCUGCACUUAAUGUUUGAGGCUGUCUCUCCAGUCCCUCUGAGCAGGAGGGGUAAUGGUAGAUGCAGCCGCUGUACAUCUCUCUUUCCCCUUGUUUACCCUCCAUUCCCACUCUGCUUUAGACUUCUGGAUUGUCGAUCUCUGUCACAUCGGAUGAUUGUUUUGGUUUCUAUUCCCUUUCUAACUGCCCACUGGGCUCAGAACCCCAAUAAACCCUUCCUUUCACUACCUUCUUUUUGGGGGGUAGAUGGAAGGGGUUGACAUUGGGUGGGGGAGGUAGGAGGCACAUCAAUAAAGAGGAAACCACCGAGCUGAAUUGAAUUUGCCCUGUGUCAUUCUACCUCCUGGCUUUUUGUUUCAAGUGUUGUGAACUUCAGUGGUGGGAAAGGAGGAUUGAGGUAUAGAUCAGAGAACUAGGAAGGCAUUGAUGAUGUUGGUCUUUCCUCCUUUUUUGAUGAGUGGAAUAAUGUAAGCAUUCUCUCAUGAAACUUUAAUUGUAUUUAUGUAUUUGUGAUGUAAACAAAGAGGUGGAGGUUGGUAGUGUGGGGUGGUAUGGAGAAAGUUUGAAAGAACUAUUUUUUGGUAAACAUGUCCAAAUGUUACUUCCCAUUAAAGAAGAUAUGUUCCUGUUUGGGAGGUGGU
rnacentral:lncRNA from 1 species